rnacentral:rRNA from 1 species
GUGAGGAAUAUUGGACAAUGGGCGCAAGCCUGAUCCAGCCAUGCCGCGUGCAGGAAGACGCAUCUAUGGUGUGUAAACUGCUUUUGUACGGGAAGAAACACUCCCUCGUGAGGGAGCUUGACGGUACCGUAAGAAUAAGGAUCGGCUAACUCCGUGCCAGCAGCCGCGGUAAUACGGAGGAUCCAAGCGUUAUCCGGAAUCAUUGGGUUUAAAGGGUCCGUAGGCGGUUUAAUAAGUCAGUGGUGAAAGCCCAUCGCUCAACGAUGGAACGGCCAUUGAUACUGUUAGACUUGAAUUACAAGGAAGUAACUAGAAUAUGUAGUGUAGCGGUGAAAUGCUUAGAUAUUACAUGGAAUACCAAUUGCGAAGGCAGGUUACUACUUGUGGAUUGACGCUGAUCGACGAAAGCGUGGGGAGCGAACAGGAUUAGAAACCCUUGUAGUCC